UACAGAGGGUGCAAACGUUGUUCGGAAUUACUGGGCGUAAAGCGCGUGUAGGCGGUCUCGCAAGUCGGGUGUGAAAGCCCAGGGCUCAACCCUGGAAGUGCAUUCGAUACUGCGAGGCUAGAGUCCCGGAGAGGAUGGUGGAACUCUCGGUGUAGAGGUGAAAUUCGUAGAUAUCGAGAAGAACACCGGUGGCGAAGGCGGCCAUCUGGACGGUGACUGACGCUGAGACGCGAAAGCGUGGGGAGCAAACAGG
rnacentral:rRNA from 1 species